UUAUUUUUAUUUCCUAUAUUAUCCUCAUCCUUUCCUUACUGUGUCAACCCACAAUCUACCUUAAAAUGAAUCUUCCUUUUUUUUUUUUUUUUUUUUUUCCAACUGCAUAACACAACAAGCAUUCUUUUUUCCCCUGGCUCUAAACUGGAAGUUUUGAAGAAUCUGAUCUUACCUUUCAGCCAGAAAGAGGAGGAAAGAUCAAAGAACUCAGUCCAUCCCCUUCAGUGGCCUUUUUUGAUCCAUGAAGUAGGAAGAACUUGGAUGACGUGUGGUGAAGCAGCAUAGUAAAGCAUGAGUAUUUCCUGGUCUCCGGACCACUGGAUGAUUUCAAUACUCAGGAGGUGCAGGCACAAAGAGGAAGAGGCAGCAGCCCUAGCCCUUUGCUCUGUGAUGCACCUCAACCACUGUGGAUAUGUUGGGGCAGUCAGGGUCUGGUUAAAGAAGGGCACUCUUUGGCCAGCCUCUGGCAACUCUCUGUGGGCAUGCUGCUUCAGCCCAUGCAGGAUCUCCUAG
rnacentral:lncRNA from 1 species